AUAAAAGGAACACUGUAGUUCACUUGGAAGAUGCCUGGUUGAUAAUCCUGGGAAUUUAAAUCCUUUGUCUACAUCCCUGACAUGUGCCUCAAUCCUGGCCUCAAGGGACCACCUUGGGAGGUGAAUGAGUUGCAGCUUGUGCCCAUUUAAACAUCAGUGGGA
ensembl:misc_RNA